UACAGAGGUCUCAAGCGUUGUUCGGAUUCAUUGGGCGUAAAGGGUGCGUAGGUGGCAUGGUAAGUCGGAUGUGAAAUCCCGGGGCUUAACCCCGGAACUGCAUUCGAUACUGCCAGGCUAGAGUACUGGAGAGGAGAUUGGAAUUUACGGUGGUAGCAGUGAAAUGCGUAGAUAUCGUAAGGAAGACCAGUGGCGAAGGCGGAUCUCUGGACAGUUACUGACACUGAGGCACGAAGGCCAGGGGAGCAAACGGG
rnacentral:rRNA from 1 species